rnacentral:rRNA from 1 species
UACGAGGGGGGCAAGCGUUGUUCGGAAUUAUUGGGCGUAAAGGGUGCGUAGGCGGUUCCGCAAGUCCUGUGUGAAAUCUUCGGGCUCAACUCGAAGUCUGCACGGGAAACUGCGGGGCUUGAGUGUGGGAGAGGUGAGUGGAAUUCCCGGUGUAGCGGUGAAAUGCGUAGAUAUCGGGAAGAACACCCGUGGCGAAGGCGGCACUCUGGGACGGUACUGACGCUGAGACGCGAAAGCGUGGGGAGCGAACAGG